GUUCUCACUUUGGCAACACAUACUAAAAUUGGAAUGAUACAAAUAUUAGUAUGGCCUCUGCACAAGGAGGACAUGUAAACUCAUGAUUUAUUCCAUAUUUUU